GACGAACGCUGGCGGCGUGCUUAACACAUGCAAGUCGAACGGAAAGGCCCUGCUUUUGUGGGGUGCUCGAGUGGCGAACGGGUGAGUAACACGUGAGUAACCUGCCCUUGACUUUGGGAUAACUUCAGGAAACUGGGGCUAAUACCGGAUAGGAGCUCCUGCUGCAUGGGGGGGGUUGGAAAGUUUCGGCGGUUGGGGAUGGUCUCGCGGCUUAUCAGCUUGUUGGUGGGGUAGUGGCUUACCAAGGCUUUGACGGGUAGCCGGCCUGAGAGGGUGACCGGCCACAUUGGGACUAAGAUACGGCCCAGACUCCUACGGGAGGCAGCAGGGGGGAAUAUUGCAGAAUGGGCGGAAGCCUGAUGCAGCAGCGCCGCGUGCGGGAUGACGGCCUUCGGGUUGUAAACCGCUUUCGCAUGUGACGAAGCGUGAGUGACGGUAAUGGGUAAAGAAGCAACGGCUAACUACGUG
rnacentral:rRNA from 1 species